UGGAUAAGGGGCACACGGGGUGCCUGGAUGAAAUCCAGCCGCCCUCCUCCCCUCGGGAAAUACUCCAGCAGGGGUCUGCAUCCCUCUGGAGGAAGGGCUGUCUUUCUUCACUUAAAGGCCCCAUCUAUGCUAUGGCAGCCCUGUCCUACAAAACGCUUUUUCUUCUGCUACAGGACCAUGAAGGCUAGUGUGCAAGAGUGCAGGGCAACCAAACCCAUUUUGGCUACACAUGCAUUGUCGCGGAAGCCACCAAUUCAGAAGGCACGAGGGAAAAGGUACACGAGGCCACCAUUGCUGAACAUGAAGAAUGAUUCCCAGAGAAAUGUGGAGCUGGAGGGAGGAGCAUCCCCCCUAACCUGCACUGGAAAGCAAGAAAUCAUGUGAGCCCAGGACCAGUGCUGACUUGGAGGAGGGGGCACUCAGCUGUUGGCCACCGCCUGAGAUCAGGUCCGGAGAAUGACCCCGCAGGCCCUUUCCUGUCUGAGCUUCAGGCUGAGUCUCUGGAGAACGGAACCGUCUCCCAUGUCCUUGUGCCCCAAUCCUGCUUAUCCUUCAGCCUCAGAAUUCUGUGCUGCAAGACGCAGUUCCCUAACACUUCCUCCGCUGCCUGGCAAAAAUCCCCACCCGGAUCAAUCUGACUGUCUGGCUCUCAUCACCCAUAACCAAGAUGCUGAGCCGUGCUGGAGAAAAUCACAGAAGACAGAGACGGACGCGUUGUAAAUUCUCGGUCUACAGUAACUGUGCACUGAUGGGCUCUGUUUUUGGAUCAUUUUCCUCCACUGUUUGGAUCUCAAAGAUGCUCUACUUUUCUCAA